CACAGGACGGCGACGCGUGAAAGCUCUGUUCACUGAUCCAGUGGCUCUUUUUGGGAAACCAUAUAAAUAUGCGAACGUUAGCAAACGAUAUCACAUAAGGCGCACCCACCACGUCAUUGAACAGUAUUUUUGCAGAGGCUGUAGUUGUCAUGAAUAAAUACUGUAAAAUCAUUUAAUUUCGCAGCCCUAAAUUUUCGCGAAUCGAGUAGGGAUAUAUUCGCAACAACUAAAUUUCGCGCACUCCACGAGUUCCUCGAAUUUUCUCGAUUCGCAAAAUUCGCGAAAAUUAAGGUCUCGCGAAAUUAAAGGGUUUUACAGUAUAAACUUGUCCAGCCCGAGUGGGUUGAGUCUGCCAUGCUUCGCGCGCAUUAUAAGCCCCGCAAUCCCGCGAUUGAAAACACCCUCUCUGACUGUGUGCUUUUCGCCGGCACACACAAAAUGCACUAUUUGCUACGCACUUUUCGAGCGCAGAAAGAGCGACGGGCAAUCCACGUGAGAGGACCAAGUGCUUUGGAGCGAUCGAGCUGAUUGGUGUAGGCGCUAAUCUGUUGGUCAUCUAGAUAGACCGCUUUCCAACCCAGAUAAGGCGAAAGUCGCGUCAUUUCUGCGCUCGGAAAUGGCGUACUUCUUGUUUCGGCUAAUUUGCAUAGCGACAUUCAGCGUCGGAUAUUUCAACAUACGUGCGCGUUAAAGAAUUUCUUAAAUAUGGAAUGGCUUUCAACGAUGAGUAUCUUCCGUUCUGCUAUCCCGUUUUUGCUAGAAAUUCCUUAAUUAAAGAAUUAAUGAAUUUGAGGUAAUUAAUGAUCUUAUAGUUACAUACUUUCUUCGAGAUAAUAUUCGCAUGACCAACUCAAAAGCGGCAUGUAUUUCGUCCCGCUAUUUUUUAAACAAAAAUUAUGUGACGAAUAAAAAACAAGACACCAUGCAUAUGGAUAAUGACCAGUGCUAUGGUGUUGGUGGAUGACCGGCAAACAACCUGCAAGAAUUAAAUGAUAAGUUUUCCUGGAGUUGUGUGCCUCCAGGGUCGACUAUGAAACGAAACUAAAGCAUAAACAGCAUAUCAGGAGAUGAAAUUGUCACUGCUAAAAACACCACAAAUGAAGCCUGGAACCUAAGGUGAAAGAAAAACAAACAAAAUAUUAGGUAUGGGAGAUAUUCAUUUAUAGAAAGUGGAUCAAAAUGGGCACAUUACACAGCCGCGCCGAUUUUUCAACAUCGGCGGCGGCGGCAGCGGCGCGCCGACAGUUUUGGUACGGCGGCGACGGCGAGGCCCCGACGUCCGGCGGCGGCGCUUCGGCGCGGCGGCGCACACCUCUAGAGAGAGGUGCGGCAACCGGCCGCCAUGUUGGAGGGCCCACUGACGCCGGCUGAAACAAUGGGAAGCGAUUUGAUGUGAAAUAUUUAUUGCGCUUUAAACGCUCCUCAUUGCUGAUUAGCACGCAUCUUUCUUAGGAAUCAGUGUGCUGGUGUAUUCCUACCGUGCUUCGGCGGUGUGUCUGUAGUUUUCAUGGUAAUUACGUUCUUUUUCUUCUCCGCUUCCUGUACGCCGAAUAUGGGCCACUGAUCUCGAUUGUAAAAGGCUGGAUCGCGGAUGGGGAGCGCGAGCGUGAAGAAACCGGCCGCCAUCUUACUGUACCCACAACAGUCGCCGCAGCGAUCAUGGCAACUUCUUGCAAUUACGGUCGUACCAACCGUACUGGCAAGGUUACAGGGCCUAAAUUUAUACAGGUUUCGUCAUGAGGGCUACCCAGUGAAUAAUCUGUGCAGUGUGAUACGGCUGAGUGUACAGGUUACUUCACAGCUGCCUCGACAUACUCAAGAAAUGGGUGCAGAACCUGCGUAAUGCCCACAAACCUUGACUACCACAGCACCUCCAGAAAGUAAAGGCAUAUGUGUCACAUGGGAUUUUUAAAGGCAUUCACAGUAUAUAAUACCUUGUAUGAACUGUUGUAGAUCUAAGCAGCCUCUACAGUACACUCUCAGAAAUUAAAACUUGUCAUGGAACUGUGAUAAUUGUUUCAGUUAAUAGGCAUGCACAUAUACGCUAUAAGAAGAAAAUUAUUUAUUGAGAAUGCACUUCUCUGGCUACUCAUGUUGUUUACAUCUACUGUUGAUCACAUUCAUUUAUCACAUACAGUGAAACCUUCCUAUGUUGGACACCACGGUGCAGCAGAAGCGUGUCCUACUUAUAGAGGUGUCCGAGUUACAGAAUAUGAGGGAAACAAAAAAUGGAAAAGAUCACAGCUGUGUUGCCGGAAAUGUCCCCCUUCUUCAAUUUAUGGUCCUGAGUGGUACCUGGUGGCAGUGGUACCUACUACCCACUCUUCACUGAUAAUUAUUACUGAUUUUAGUAGAUUCAAUUCUGUUCAGAUUCCACUCAAUGGCAUUACCUCUGGAGCUUUUUGAGCAGCGAUGACUUGUCUCUGAAGCGUCAGCCCACUUUUCGUUGCUUUGGUGCAGUGUGCGUUCAAAGGCUCUAGACAAACCGAAGACAAAUGCUCACACAAAAAAUUACGAUGUACACUGACAGCACUUGUUUUUGGACUCGGAAAAACUAAAGCAACAAAGGGUUUUGUCCGACUUAGCAGGGAAAACCCUGUCCAACUUACGAGAUAGGGAGGUGUCCGAUAUAGAGAAUUUCGUCCCCGUGUAGUUUCAAUGGGAGCAAUGAAAUCUUGUCCGACAUGGGGAGUUGUCCGACUUUGGAGGUUUUACUGUAUUAUAUUCUUAUAUAUUAUUAUUAUAUUAUCACAUAUAGACAUAUUAUCACAUAUCACAAGAGAUAAUUUAAAAUUUAGCAUAUAUGACAAAAUAUCAGGAGGGGAGUUGCUAUUCAUUGCUCAUUCCAACCUAAAAUUGAGAGAGCGUACCUGACCAUUGUCAUUCCUAAAAUAUAUAUUGCCAUUGUAGCAAGGUCACAAAACAAUAAAUGUAGUAUUUUGCGACCUCCCUGCACGUUCGUUGUAUCCUGAAACGCAUAAGUGCAAGAAAUAAAUCUUGAAC